GAUGAACGCUAGCUACAGGCUUAACACAUGCAAGUCGAGGGGUAGCAGGGUAGCAAUACCGCUGACGACCGGCGCACGGGUGAGUAACACGUAUCCAACCUUCCCAUAACUCGGGGAUAGCCUUUCGAAAGAAAGAUUAAUACCCGAUAGUACUUUUUCAAGGCAUCUUGAGAAAGUUAAAGAUUUAUUGGUUAUGGAUGGGGAUGCGUUCCAUUAGAUAGUUGGUGAGGUAACGGCUCACCAAGUCUUCGAUGGAUAGGGGUUCUGAGAGGAAGGUCCCCCACAUUGGUACUGAGACACGGACCAAACUCCUACGGGAGGCAGCAGUGAGGAAUAUUGGUCAAUGGGCGAGAGCCUGAACCAGCCAAGUAGCGUGGAGGAUGAAGGUCCUAUGGAUUGUAAACUUCUUUUAUAGUAGAAUAAAGUGAUCCACGUGUGGAUUUUUGUAUGUAUACUAUGAAUAAGGAUCGGCUAACUCCGUGCCAGCAGCCGCGGUAA
rnacentral:rRNA from 1 species